GCGGGGUGCUACUGUGUGGUUGCCCCCACAUCUGACUCACCUCAGUGCCCAGGAUGGGAGCAAAGCACAGACAGAGGCUCACUAGUGGCACGAUCUUGGCUGAUUGCAUCUUCCACCUCCUGGGUUCAAGAGAUUCUUGUGCCUUAGCUUCCUGAGUAGCUAAGAUUACAGGCGUGAGCUACUGUGGCCGGCCACAUUUCCCUUCUGGUGCGCGUCCUCCUGUAGCUGUGGGAUCAGGGGAGGUAGAGAUGUCUUGUAACUGACUCAAGUUUGGCUGCUUGCCGCAGGAGAAGCGAGGUGUGGUGAAAGGAAAGCAACUUUUAUUCAGAUGCUAGCAGGUGGGAGAGUGGCCAGGCUCAAGGCUCUAAGGAACCAUCUCAGCUUUUUGGACUGCGUGAAGGGCUUUAGGAAGGAGAACUCGGUGUGGGAGACAUGUGGGAGUAGGGCAGUGGUGCAGGUGUCUUGAGUAAUUGCCCAUCCGGAGGUCUAGUUGGCAUCAUCUUGACCUUGGUCUGGUGGUGGUGGACUCAUUGUUCAUAACUCCCCUAGACAGGAGGAUUCCACAGCUGGGUUCUAUGCCUGGUUUAUUUAAAAAUGAGCCCCUGGCAUUUCUAAGCAGGCACAGAAUGAGAUAAGUGAGCACUGUGGCUGGUGGGAAAGGGAGGGAAACAGGUUUAAAGUAUGUUUCAAGGCUGCAUUCUGAGACUAGGAGGGAAAGGAAGAAAAACUUUAAAAUUCUUCUCAAGGCUGAGAUAUUUGACUACAGUCUCAUGCCCAAAAUGUUUCUAUUCUACACUGAGACCUGAUAGAUAAUUUGGCUGCAUACCUGGAGUCCAGUGUGUGCACCUGCCCCUCCCAUCCCAUACUCGCAGCCAGUGGAAAAGUCUGCAAAAGGAAGCCAGCUGGGAGUGCCCACCAGAGUCAAAGUCUGGGGCAGGCUGGUGGACUCAAGAGGAGUCUUAAAUAUUGGAAAUGUCAUCACAAACCAUCUGGGAAGCCCCCUCCUCUUAAAAAGGACAUAAAGUCAAAGUGAACAGGUGUGCUCACUCCAAGCCCGUGCCCACAACCACAGUGCCCUUCACAUUCAGAGUCAUGGCCACUAGCCACAAAAUUGUGACUUACAGUUCACAAAAUUGGGACAUAUUUACAUGUUGACUAAGUUGGGAAAUAAUUUGGAUUUUCUUUAAAAGUAGUAAAAGUAAAGAAGAAAAAGUCAAAAAGGUCUGACAUCUAAGAGGGUGAAAUUUCCUUACUUUAGAUCACAAGCAAUCAGGCUGAUCCCGCCUGAGCCCUGAGCUCCCUGGGACCCAGCAGCAGCUGUGCAUUGGCACGUGGUGCCCUGUGUCUGAUCAGCUGACUCCUCAGGCAAAACCUGCACCAUUUUCACCAGAAUUGCAGAUGUCCUCAGUGUCAUUACAAAGUUCCUAAGUCAUGACCAUUCUGUCCUGUGGAACCAGGCUGGACUAAGCUCCCAUUUCUUUAAGCCAUCCUGUCCCCUGCAGGGACUUCCAAGGUGGAGCUGAUGAGCAAUAGUUAUGAGUCAUUGGAGGAGACAUCCCAGAGGCGCCAGCUCCCCUCUGCCCUAAACUGAAAUUAAGACCUGGUGCUCUGGGUGGGGCCCCUGGAAGGGGAUGUGCAACUCAGAGGGGACCUUCUCCACCUCCACCCAGGAGACCCCAGAGGGACCAUGGCAGAGCCGGAGCCCUCUUUUUUUUUGUUCGUUUUUUAUUUUAUUAUUAUUAUACUUUAAGUUUUAGCCCUCUUUUAAAAACCAAAUGAAAAUAAGCAAAAGAAGCCAAUCGUCUCUGUGAAAUGUCCAGAAGAGGGAACUCUGUAGAGACAGAGAGGAUAUUAUUGGCUGCCGGAGGCUGGGAAUGGGAAGGUGAGGGGCCUGGGGAGGUGAUGGUUAAAAGAUUCUUCUUUGUGGUGAUGAAAUUGUCUUAAAAUGGACUGUGGUGAUAGUUGUGCAACUUGGUGAAUAUAUAAGUUAUUGAAUUGUACACUUUAAAUGGGUGAAUUGUAUGGUGUGUGAAACAUAUCUCAAUAAAGCUGUUAUUUGAAAAAUAAAUAAGUAAAUAAGUGAAGUCCCUGGGCUGGAGCCGGGGGGAUGCGGUUGUUCACUCUAGCUGCACUUGCUGUAGGCCCUGGGCAAGACCUUUCUGCACCCUGGCCCUCAGUUUCUCCAAUCUGGAACACGUGGGGUCGGCCAAGGUCUCCACAGGCCUUCUCCAGCAGUGUGUGACAGUGUGGAGUGCCUGCAGAGAAGGCACCUGGGUCUCUCUGAGGAGCAGAGAAGGGGACUGGGGCUGCAGGAAUGUGGCUUCACUGUGGGCUUGGGUAUCUGUGAGGUCCUGUCUGGGAGAAGCCUUCU
rnacentral:lncRNA from 10 species